AUUUUAUUUAGUAAAAAUCUGUGCAAUAUUUCACAUGUAAAACAGCUGCAUCUUCUUUAUACCUGAAUUAACGUUACAUAGAAAGACGUAUUUUUAGCGAUUCUUGUAAAAAUAGAUGAAUUUAACAAAAGAAACAAAAAAAAGACACAUUCUCAAUGGAGAAAUCACUUGGUGCUCCCUGGAAAAUAAAAAACGACCAAAAACCAAGGAGAAGGCUUCAGAAGACAGCUACUCACUACUAAACUCACCUGGGGUUGAGUCGUGAGUAGAAUGGAACCCUAUUAGCUAGACUAGCACUACAUAGGGAAUAGGGUGCCAUUUGGGACAUUUUUCUAGUGUUCAUCGGCCCAUUGGGCUUACACCAUUUCUUUUAGUUCCAUGUCACAUACUACCCAUUUGACAUGCAUUUGUGUCCCUCUGUGACAGGGCCUGGACCUCACUGGGUAGAACCUUCUCCCGGACCACUAGCCCUUAUGGAUUCUAGAGUUCGCAUUAUGAUUGGACAUUCUAGAGUGUUCCACACAUUAUAAGUCCGGAGCUUAGAGACGUCAUCAACACAUUUUACAGCCAUUUUGUUCCUCUGCAAUCUCCUUUCUUUCCCUUCCCCCUUCCCGUCUCCCUUUCCCCUUUCCCCUUCCCGUCUCCCUUUCCCCUUCCCGUCUCCCUUUCCCGUCUCCCUUUCCCCUUCCCGUCUCCCCUUCCCGUCUCCCUUUCCCCUUCCCGUCUCCCUUUCCCCUUCCCGUCUCCCUUUCCCCUUCCCGUCUCCCUUUCCCGUCUCCCUUUCCCGUCACCCUUUCCCGUCUCCCUUUCCCCUUCCCGUCUCCCUUUCCCGUCUCCCUUUCCCGUCACCCUUUCCCGUCACCCUUUCCCGUCUCCCUUUCCCGUCUCCUUUCCCGUCUCCCUUCCCCUUUCCGUCUCCCUUUCCCGUCUCCCUUUCCCGUCUCCCUUUCCCGUCUCCCUUUCCCGUCUCCCCUUCCCGUCUCCCUUUCCCGUCUCCCUUCCCGUCUCCCUUCCCGUCUCCCUUUCCGUCUCCCUUUCCGUCUCCCUUUCCCGUCUCCCUUUCCCCUUCCCGUCUCCCUUUCCCCUUCCCGUCUCCCUUCCCGUCUCCCUUUCCCCUUCCCGUCUCCCUUUCCCCUUCCCGUCUCCCUUUCCCGUCUCCCGUCUCCCUUUCCCUUUCCCGUCUC
rnacentral:lncRNA from 1 species